GCGUCAUUAAACCCCUCAGGCCCCUCCCGGCCUGGUCUUGGGCCCUUUCACCCCCGGGUGGGCCUUAAAAUCAUUGGCAGCGCAGUCCGACUUCGAGCGUAGUAGUUUUCCCGCUCUGGAAGCAUCGGCCUGGUCCUGCCAGCCAACCACCAUCUCAUGCCAUUGACCUCGGAUCAGGUAGGGAUACCCGCUGAACUUAA
rnacentral:misc_RNA from 1 species